GAGAGUCAAUGGCCAGCCAAUCUAUAUGUUCUUGCUGCUGCUGCUCCUACUGCUGCUGCUGCUGUUAUUGGUAUUAUUCUUGCCUGGGUCUUCAUUGCAGGAAGAAGAGAAACAUCCUCUGCACAGCAUCCAGAGCUCGUGAGCCUGCAGGUCCUGGAUUGACACGUGGUUGGGACAGGAGACCACAGGGUUGCCACACAGCUGGGAUUUCAGCCUCUGAUGUCAGCUCCUGGGCCCACUGGCUCCACUGAGGGUGCUGAGACUCUGCAGCCAGGCGGCUGGGAUUCAGCUCCCUGCCUGGAUCUCACCAGCACUUUCCCGCUUGGUGCCUCAGUUCCCUGACCUAUGAAGCAGAGAACGUAAGAAUGGUGUCAUCUUCACCUCUGGAGAGAUCUCUGUCACUGUGUUCAGGGAAAGGACCAGCCUCACUCCCCAUGCAGAGAGGAAUCUCUGGCUGUGAUCCAGCCUGUGGAGAGUGAGGACCUCCUCCCUCUACAGUGAUGGCCAAGAACCUGCAGGUGACAGGGAAGCUUCCUCUCAGUGUGUCCUAUCAGGUUCUUCCAGGCAUCACGGAACAGACCCGGGACAUUUCCUCCAGUGACAUGGCCACACCCAGAAGUGAGGUGGCCCUGCCAGGGGCUCCUGGGGCUGCCACUUGUUUUGGAGCUCAGUGUCUGGAGAUGGGUGUGAGGAGUAGGCUUUGUGCAAAACAUAACUGUGACCCAUAAAUUAUUUUAUGCUUCUUCUUUUAAGAAGAAAUAAAUAAAAUAAAACAAGUACCAAAAAAGAAAA